rnacentral:misc_RNA from 1 species
UUUCCGUAGGUGAACCUGCGGAAGGAUCAUUAUUGAAUGAACUUGGUGUGGUUGUGCCGGCCCUCUCGGGGGCAUGUGCUCACUCGCCAUUCUCAUCUCUCCACCUGUGCACCUUUUGUAGACUUGGACUUGACUUUCCGAGGGAACUCGGUCGGGAGGACUGCUGGCAAUUCAGCUGGCUGUCCUUGCAUUUCCAAGCCUACGUUUUUCAUAUACCCCAUUGUAUGUAACAGAAUGUAUCAUUAGGCCCUUGUGCCUAUAAAACUUAUACAACUUUCAGCAACGGAUCUCUUGGCUCUC